UAAUAUUUUUUUUAUAUUUUGUGGUGAUUUUUUUACACACAAGAAUGGAAGGUAAAAAAGGACAAAAUUUGUCUUCCCACGUCCCUCCAGCGGAUCCGGAUUGUUCGUGCAAAGAAGGCGCGUCCUAGAGUCCGUGCCGGCCCGUAACUGAAAUAUGCAUAUAGUGUAUAUAUAUGUGUGUAUUCUGAAGCAGCAAUGUGGUCUUCUCACCUCUCUCCGGCGGGCAUGCAUUCGGAUUGUUUGCGCAAAGAGGGGCCGUCCCAGGGACCGGGGCGGCCCGCCACUGCAAAGACUAUGCAAUACCAAGAUAUUGCAUCAGAAAAAAAUGUUAUUUCAAAGCCCAGAAAUAUGUAUGUAGUUGUGUAUGUGUGUUCUCAUCAAUGUGCUGAAUCUAGCCCAAGAAAUGUAGUUGUUUUUGCCAUUUUGCGGCCUAGAAGGUUCGUUAGGCGUCGCUAAAAAUUGUAUUUGUUGCUAAAACAUUUUGGAAUUGUGAAGGAGUACGCUCUUGCUUCUACGGCUUGUUUCUGGUCGAAUAUGUGUAUGAGCUCCUCGGGGAAUUCACAUUAUUUGCUUCGCUCCUAGUGUUACUAUUUUAUUAGUUUCGCGUACUGCCUAGGGAUACGGUACACUGGAAAUUAUUAGAGGGUAGAAGGUAGAAUCUACCAUGACCUAUCAUGACCCUGAAAAGCCGAGAUAAUUCAUAAUAAUAAUCCCUGGAGUGUCCUGUAUUCGCUAGCCUACUUUGUUCCCGGGCGGCAUGGUUCGCCAAUUAACGUACUUUUCUACCACAUAGCCAUAGUAACAAAUAUUUUUGUAUACACUAAAUUCAUUUAAACGCAUACUUGCCAAAACUAUUAAGAACCCUCAAAUCAAAAUUAAAUUGACCGAAUAUACUAAAAAUAACCAUACAAAUAGAUAAUAUAAAUAUAAAUAAUUACAAAUACAUACAUAAGUAAUAGAGCAUAUAGUAAUAACUAAAAAGCAAUAUAGAUAGAUAAUAUAGAUUUUAGUUAACUGAAAAUAGAAAAUUAUACCGCAAUA